AUGCCUGGGACUGCGCAUAAACCGGAACGACUCGGCUGCUGUGUCAAACACAAUGAUGUCUCUGGCGCCUCCCGUCACGUCACAGACGUGAGGAUUCCAGUGCAUGUUGCCCCGGUGGUCGACCGGCGGAUGGUAGAAGCACAACUGUGCCUCUUGAUUUUUUUUCUUCCACAGAAGUAUAAAUUUGCUUCUCAUGGAGGCACAUAUACUUCAGCGAGAAGCACAGUUGUGCCUUUCGAAAAAGAAAAAAUACGUGUUUUUUCUUUCUUUUACAAAAAGCACAAAUUUUCUUUCGCGGGAAGCACAAUCGUGCCUCUCGAAAAGAAAAAGAAAACCAAUUAUUUUUGCUUCCAUGAGAAGCACAGAUUUCCUUGUCGCGGAGGCAUAAAUUUGCAUCCGCGAGAAGCACUGAUGUUUUCUCAGCGGAGGAAAAAACAAUUAGGCCUGGGGAGCAGCCCUGAUAGGUGUUAA
rnacentral:rRNA from 1 species